rnacentral:rRNA from 1 species
GACGAACGUUGGCGGCGUGCUUAAUACAUGCAAGUCAACUGAAGCAGUGGUAGCAAUAUCGCUGUGGAGGUGGCGCACGGGUGAGUAACACGUAGUUAAUCUGCCUUCAGGUCUGGCAUAACUCCUGGAAACCGGGGCUAAUAGCAGAUGAUGCAGCGGCUCGACAUCGAGACAGUUGUUAAAGCUAUGGCGCCUGAAGAUGAGCCUGCGUCUGAUUAGCUAGUUGGCGGGGUAACGGCCCACCAAGGCAACGAUCAGUAGCUGGUCUGAGAGGAUGAUCAGCCACACUGGAACUGAGACACGGUCCAGACUCCUACGAGAGGCAGCAGUAAGGAAUAUUGCUCAAUGGGAGAAAUCCUGAAGCAGCAACGCCGCGUGAGGGACGAAGGGCUUUUGCUUGUAAACCUCUGUAGUGAGAGAAAAAAAUCCCAAUCUUUGGGACAUGAUGGUAUCUCAAAAGUAAGCCCCGGCUAACUACGUG